rnacentral:rRNA from 1 species
CAGCCGCCACGGGAAUACGUAGGGUGCGAGCGUUAAUCGGAAUUACUGGGCGUAAAGCGUGCGCAGGCGGUUUUGUAAGACAGGCGUGAAAUCCCCGGGCUCAACCUGGGAAUGGCGCUUGUGACUGCAAAGCUAGAGUGCGGCAGAAGGGGAUGGAAUUCCGCGUGUAGCAGUGAAAUGCGUAGAUAUGCGGAGGAACACCGAUGGCGAAGGCAAUCCCCUGGGCCUGCACUGACGCUCAUGCACGAAAGCGUGGGGAGCAAACAGGAUUAGAUACCCCCGUAGUCCCUGUCUCUUAUAC